rnacentral:rRNA from 1 species
AGCAGCCGCGGUAAUUCCAGCUCCAAUAGCGUAUAUUAAAGUUGUUGCAGUUAAAAAGCUCGUAGUUGAAUUUCGGGGUCAGUAGGUUGGUCGUGCCACUGGUAUGUACUGGCCUCACUGAUUCCUCCUUCUUGUAGAACCGUAAUGCCAUUAAUUUGGUGUUGCGGGGAAACAGGACUGUUACUUUGAAAAAAUUAGAGUGUUUAAAGCAGGCUAACGCUUGAAUACAUUAGCAUGGAAUAAUGAAAUAGGACGUUCGAUCCUAUUUUGUUGGUUUCUAGGAUUGACGUAAUGAUUAAUAGGGAUAGUUGGGGGCAUUAGUAUUCAAUUGUCAGAGGUGAAAUUCUUGGAUUUAUUGAAGACUAACUACUGCGAAAGCAUUUGCCAAGGAUGUUUUCAUUAAUCAAGAACGAAAGUUAGGGGAUCGAAGACGAUCAGAUACCGUCGUAGUCUUAACCAUAAACUAUGCCGACUAGGGAUCGGAUGAUGUAAUUUUUAAUGACUCAUUCGGCGCCUUACG